rnacentral:rRNA from 1 species
GUGCCUAACACAUGCAAGUCGAACGGAGAUUAACGCUGAUGAGGCGUUCGGCGGAUUCUUGUUAAAUCUUAGUGGCGGACGGGUGGAGUAACGCGGUGGGCGAACCUCGCCUCAUACUGGGGGAGUAACAGUGGAAACGACUGUUAAUACCGCAUAAGCGCACUAAAGUCGCAUGACUCAGUGUGAAAAACUCCGGUGGUAUGAGAUGGGCCCGCGUCAGAUUAGCUAGUUGGUGGGGUAAAGGCCUACCAAGGCGACGAUCUGUAGCCGGACUGAGAGGUCGGACGGCCACAUUGGGACUGAGACACGGCCCAAACUCCUACGGGAGGCAGCAGUGGGGGAUAUUGCACAAUGGAGGAAACUCUGAUGCAGCGACGCCGCGGUGAGUGAAGAAGUAUUUCGGUAUGUAAAGCUCUAUCAGCAGGGAAGAAAGGCUCGUAAGAGAGAUGACGGUACCUGACUAAGAAGCCCCGGCUAACUACGUGCCAGCCGCCGC